ACAGGCUGCCUGCUCAGGCAGCGCAGAGCCCACUGGCUUCCAAAGUGCCUCAUCCCGCCAAGGCGCUUGGGAAAGACCCAGGGGAGCCACCAACUCCCGAAAUAACCUCACACCAGUUCCAGGACAUCUGUGGGAUGGGGCGGAGCUUGAGCCCCCAUGGAACACUGAAGAGGCGGGGAGAGCUGGAAAUGGGGACGAGAGGGGAGACAAAGAGAAGGCAACGGAUGGAAAAAGUAGACAUGGUAGGGCCUGGUGUCCGCAGCUUCUCACCCCAGCUCUAAGCAAGGCUGAAGCAAGAGGAUCAUGAAUUCAAUGCCAGCCUGGAGACCUUCCAAGUCAUCAUUCAAUCAUUCAACAGAGUUUAUGGAACACACCUGUGGACUGCAAUCUAGUGGAGGGUUCACAAUGGACAGGAAGGAGCGGCAGGUGACAGGCCCCAGCGCCAUCCUUAAAACCACAUACCUGAGACCCCAUGGAAAGAGAGGAAGGAAGACAGGCGGGCUGGAGAGACGGCUCGGUGGUUCUCAGCUCCUGUUGCUCUCGCAGAGGACCCAAGUCCGGUGCCCAGCACCCACGUCAGGCGGCUCACAACCACCCGUAACUCCAGCUUCAAGGAAUCUGACGCCCUCUUCUGCAUCUGCGAGUGCACAUGCCCACGCCACAC